GUGCUCGCUUCGGCACACAUAUACUAACAUUGUGAACGAUACAGAGAAGAUUAGCAUGGCCUCUGUGCAAGGAUGACAUGUAACCCCAAAACAAACAAACAAAAAAA